AUGAAAAGUAUUUAAUUUCUAUGGCCAAACACAUUGCAAAUAAAGUGAAAAGCAUUUGAUUUCGACGGCCAAACGCCCAAUAAGUUUCAUAAUUAAAUGGCCUAAAAUGCAAAUUUUCGAAAUGACAGUACCGUUUGCAAGAAAAUGUAGAACCGACACAAGUGUUUAGUUUCCAAACCAAACCCAAGUACAGGUGCUAACUGCUUAAGUAGUUAAGCACAUUUAAGCAAAGAAAAAAAAGAAAAAAAAAACAUGAGAACAACUUUCAUUGAAAAUAAUAAACAAGGCAAAGUAGGUAUAGCUAUGCUUACUAAAAAUGAAGAUUGAAGCGUUCCGUUUGGAUCCUUAAACAGCAAAAUAUUGAAUCAGCUAGACAAUGGAUCUACUCUUUAUUGUUUUUCAGCUUCACUAUUGCUUCUUUGUAUCUUUUAGACACGCUAAUUAUCUCCACUAAACUAACCACUGAUUACCAAAAUAUCCAGCUCAAAAAGCAUCCCCAGCUGCCUCUUCGUUUCAACUCCGAUGGAACCUUCAAAAUCCUGCAGGUUGCGGAUAUGCACUAUGUGAAUGGGAUGGUGACUCGGUGUAGAGAUGUGUUGGUGAGUGAGUUCAAUUACUGUUCCGACCUCAACACUACUCAGUUCUUGAGGAAAAUGAUUGAUAUUGAAAAGCCAGACUUGAUUGUAUUUACUGGUGGACAGAGAGAUAAACUUGAUCCUUAGGCUACUUAUACAGAGAUUGCUUAGAGGAGCUCCAUUUGAUCCAAAGCUGCAUCUGUAGGUGGACAGGGAGCUAGACUUCAUCCUUAGGCUACAUAUUAAGAGAUUGCUUAGAGGAGCUCCAUUUGAUCCGGAGCCGCAGCUGUGGGUACUAUUAUUUUGUGUAUAUAUGGGCAUGGCGGGGCCCUGUGCCAUCCUUAUGAUGAUGUGUCAUAGUUUUCUUAGGGGCUCGUAGACAGUCGUAUAUACGAGAUGUCUUUUUCCUUGUCAGCUCAUACUCGUGGUAUAUUAUUUUGUUAAGCCUCAUCGGCUUGUGUAUAUGUGUAUGGGCAUAGUUGGUGAUGCUGAUAUAUAAAAGUGUUUUA